rnacentral:rRNA from 1 species
AACGGAAAGGCCCUGCUUGCAGGGUACUCGAGUGGCGAACGGGUGAGUAACACGUGGGUGAUCUGCCCUGCACUUCGGGAUAAGCUUGGGAAACUGGGUCUAAUACCGGAUAGGAACCAUCUUUAGUGUGGUGGUUGGAAAGUUUUUUCGGUGUAGGAUGAGCUCGCGGCCUAUCAGCUUGUUGGUGGGGUAAUGGCCUACCAAGGCGGCGACGGGUAGCCGGCCUGAGAGGGUGUACGGCCACAUUGGGACUGAGAUACGGCCCAGACUCCUACGGGAGGCAGCAGUGGGGAAUAUUGCACAAUGGGCGCAAGCCUGAUGCAGCGACGCCGCGUGGGGGAUGAAGGCCUUCGGGUUGUAAACUCCUUUCGCUAGGGACGAAGCUUUUUUGUGACGGUACCUAGAUAAGAAGCACCGGCUAACUACGUGCCAGCAGCCGCGGUAAUACGUAGGGUGCGAGCGUUGUCCGGAAUUACUGGGCGUAAAGGGCUCGUAGGUGGUUUGUCGCGUCGUCUGUGAAAUUCUGGGGCUUAACUCCGGGCGUGCAGGCGAUACGGGCAUAACUUGAGUGCUGUAGGGGUAACUGGAAUUCCUGGUGUAGCGGUGAAAUGCGCAGAUAUCAGGAGGAACACCGAUGGCGAAGGCAGGUUACUGGGCAGUUACUGACGCUGAGGAGCGAAAGCAUGGGUAGCGAACAGGAUUAGAUACCCUGGU